GAUGAACGCUAGCGGGAGGCCUAACACAUGCAAGCCGAGCGGUAGAGUUCCUUCGGGAACUUGAGAGCGGCGUACGGGUGCGUAACACGUGUGCAACCUACCUUUAUCUGGGGGAUAGCCUUUCGAAAGGAAGAUUAAUACCCCAUAAUAUAAUGAUUGGCAUCAAUUAUUAUUGAAAACUCCGGUGGAUAGAGAUGGGCACGCGCAAGAUUAGAUAGUUGGUGAGGUAACGGCUCACCAAGUCAAUGAUCUUUAGGGGUCCUGAGAGGGAGAUCCCCCACACUGGUACUGAGACACGGACCAGACUCCUACGGGAGGCAGCAGUGAGGAAUAUUGGACAAUGGGUGAAAGCCUGAUCCAGCCAUCCCGCGUGAAGGAUGACGGUCCUAUGGAUUGUAAACUUCUUUUGUACAGGGAUAAACCUACUCUCGUGAGGGUAGCCGAAGGUACUGUACGAAUAAGCACCGGCUAACUCCGUG
rnacentral:rRNA from 1 species